AGUCGCUGUAAUGAAUGCUCGGGAAGUUAUGGAGAGAAAGGAGACGAUCCCAGUGAUUAAUGCCAAAGCCCUGUUGCCUGGGGAGAGGGUGAUGUUUGACUUUCUUGUACAGCUGCAGUUUGUGUGGUGAAGAUGCUCCCACAAUGUGGUUGGAUCCCAGUGAUUAAUGCCAAAGCCCCAUUGCCUGUGGAGAGGGUGAUGUUUGACUUCCUGUACAGCUGCAGUUUGUGUGGUGAAGGUGCUCCCACAAUGUGGUUGGGUGGACAUUCAGAUGGUAACCUCAGUAUUUGUAACACCAAACUCUGACAGAAUUACACAAUUCAUAAAGACCUGGAUAUUUGCAUUUAGUUCUGAGAUGUUUAUUAUAGGAAUAUGACCGGCUCCAUUGGACAUCAGGUCAGAAACGGUGAUACUAGAAUAGAUGACACAUGGCUGGUCGAUGUUUUUGGGAGGU